UGGCGAACGGGUGAGUAACACGUGAGUAACCUGCCCUUGACUUUGGGAUAACUGCAGGAAACUGGGGCUAAUACCGGAUAGGAGCUCCUGCUGCAUGGUGGGGGUUGGAAAGUUUCGGCGGUUGGGGAUGGACUCGCGGCUUAUCAGCUUGUUGGUGGGGUAGUGGCUUACCAAGGCUUUGACGGGUAGCCGGCCUGAGAGGGUGACCGGCCACAUUGGGACUGAGAUACGGCCCAG
rnacentral:rRNA from 1 species